UAGGGAAUCUUCGGCAAUGGACGAAAGUCUGACCGAGCAACGCCGCGUGAGUGAAGAAGGUUUUCGGAUCGUAAAACUCUGUUGUUAGAGAAGAACAAGGACGUUAGUAACUGAACGUCCCCUGACGGUAUCUAACCAGAAAGCCACGGCUAACUACGUGCCAGCAGCCGCGGUAAUACGUAGGUGGCAAGCGUUGUCCGGAUUUAUUGGGCGUAAAGCGAGCGCAGGCGGUUUCUUAAGUCUGAUGUGAAAGCCCCCGGCUCAACCGGGGAGGGUCAUUGGAAACUGGGAGACUUGGGUGCAGAAGAGGAGAGUGGAAUUCCAUGUGUAGCGGUGAAAUGCGUAGAUAUAUGGAGGAACACCAGUGGCGAAGGCGGCUCUCUGGUCUGAAACUGACGCUGAGGCUAGAAAGCGUGGGGAGCAAACAGG
rnacentral:rRNA from 1 species